rnacentral:rRNA from 1 species
GUGGGGAAUCUUCCGCAAUGGACGAAAGUCUGACGGAGCAACGCCGCGUGAGUGAAGAAGGUUUUCGGAUCGUAAAGCUCUUUCGUUAGGGACGAACGUGCUCUUUGUGAAUAAUGAGGAGUAAUGACGGUACCUAAAUAAGAAGCCACGGCUAACUACGUGCCAGCAGCCGCGGUAAUACGUAGGUGGCAAGCGUUGUCCGGAAUUAUUGGGCGUAAAGCGCGCGCAGGCGGGAUAUCAAGUCUGUCUUAAAAGUGCGGGGCUCAACCUCGUGAGGGGACAGAAACUGGUAUUCUUGAGUGUCGGAGAGGAAAGUGGAAUUCCAAGUGUAGCGGUGAAAUGCGUAGAGAUUUGGAAGAACACCAGUGGCGAAGGCGACUUUCUGGACGAUGUCUGACGCUGAGGCGCGAAAGCUAGGGGAGCGAACGGGAUUAGAUACCCGGGUAGUCC